ACCACUGAGCUAAAUGCCCAACCCCCUAAAUUAGUUUUUAACCUCUUUUCUUCCCAGAGAUGAAAAGUUAUUCUCCUCCUGACCUGUCUCCCCCCUUUCUUCCCUUCCUCCCUCUGUCCUUUCCCUGUUAUUUGGAAAACAUAAGUGCUUUGCUUGCUUUGGACUGAACUCAAAUGCUUUAGGCAGAGAACACAGGCUUUGACGUAUGUUAGUUCUUGUGAAUAAAGAAAAUUUAUUUACAAAGAGCUGACUGGUUAAGCUUUUUUUUAAAUGACUGUAUUUCUACCCUACAUAGAGCAAGUCUUACUGGUUGCACAGAUAACUAAACAACAGAGAUCACAGGCAAUGGUUUUGAGGUUCUGGCUCUCUGUAAGGACAUGAAGGAGUCUUUAUACUUAUAAAGUGGCUCACUUGGACCAAGGUAACAAUCUUUAAUGUUAGAAAUAGCUUCUCACUACAAAAUUUUCAGUUUUCAGAUAUAAAAGGAGAUAUUUUAAAGGGGAACAGCCUUUACCUUAAUGAAAUCUCAAGAGGAAGACCAUGAUUCCACAUUUCUGGCUGAGAAAUCAGAGAGAAAUAUUUGAGCUUUCAAUGUGCAUGAGCCAGGAGGAGACAACAAGCAAGAGUUGUCUGUGGGGAUGGGAGCCAAAGGGGAACAAUCAGCACGGCCAGGAAGACCAUGAAAUAGGGAGCCACCACCUGAUCCAGACUAUGUCUCCCACCUAGAUAGAUUCCAAUAAAAGCUUUGCCUGACCAGCCUCAUUUCUACCAUUUUUGGGCCUGGGCACUAGGCUCCAGUAACAUAAAGACACCUGUUCCCUUGUGAAAAUCAACUGUAAUGCUACUACAUGUAUUUUCUACAAACAUAAGUCUAUAAGGAUAGGAAGU
rnacentral:sRNA from 1 species